rnacentral:lncRNA from 1 species
UUUGGUUAGAUCUAUUUUCCCUCCACUUACCAAUUUAUUUUUAUUUUUAUUUAUUUAUUUAUUUAUUUAUUUUAGAUGGAGUCUUGCUCUGUUGCCCAGGCUGGAGUGCAGGGACGUGGUAUCAGCUCACUGCAACCCCACCUCCCAGAUUCAAGCGAGUCUUCCUGCCUCAGCCUCCCAAGUAACUGGGAUUACAGGCGCCUGCCACCACGCCCAGCUAAUUUUUUGUAUUUUUAGUAGAGACAGGGUUUCACCAUGUUGGCCAGGCUGGUCUCGAACUCCUGACCUCAGGUGAUCCACCUACCGUGGCCUCCCAAAGUGCUGGGAUUACAGGUGUGAACCACCGCACCCGGCCUUAUUUUUUUAUUUUUGAGACAGCAUCUCGCUCUGUUCAAGUUGGCCUUGAACUCCUGGCCUCAAGUGAUCCUCCCACCUUGGCCUCCCAAAGUGUUGGAAUUACAGGUGUGAACCAUUGCAAUGGCCUUAUUACUACUUUAUAUUUGUGGAGUGCUUUAAAGUUGACAAAGUUUUUAGUUAAUCCUCACACUAUUACCUUGUGGCGUUGAAGAACAGAUUUCAGGAGCGUGAAAGUGAAGACACCAAAAAGGAAGUUCUUGCAAUAUUUCAACAAAGAGAUGAAGAUUUGGAUUAGAUUCCAGUUCUACCUUUUUGGCACCAGGGAGCUGUUCUGUGAAAGACAAUUUUCCACAGGGCUCGGGGGGUGGGCAUGAGGCAGAGGAUGGUUUCGGAAUGAAACUGUUGCACCUCAAGAUCAUCAAUUAGAUUUCCAUAAGGAGUGUGCAAUCUAGAUUCCUCACAGGUGCAGUUCAAAAUAGGUUUUGAGUUCCUGUGAGAAUCUAAUGCUCUCCUUGAUCUGACAGGAGGCAGAGCUCAGGCAGUAAUGCUUGCUUGCUAGCUGCUCACCUGCUGUGCAGCCCAGUUCCUAAUAGGCGACAGGUCUGUGUUGGGGCGUUGGGGUCCUCUGAAUUAGAGGAAUGACAGAGAGAACAGACUCAGGCAGCUUUCUGGAUGUAGAAACAACCUAACUUAGUGAUUAUAGAUACUACCUGUGAUAAUAGUGAACUUUCUUCCAUAUCAAAGUUACACACCUUUGCCUCCGGUUCUUCCCACACCCUUAGAGCAUCUGCAAACCUACAGCCCUCCUCCUAGCUGACUGUAGUCACAUGACUUUUACCUUUCUGGCCACCAGUUGUACCAGCAGUGUUCAUCUGGCCCCAAAUUGGCCAAUCAUUUUCCUGCUCCUGGAAAAUUAGACUUGGCUUUAUAUUCAAGUCUGACCUCAGGAAUUUAUGGGGCAAAGUACACAGAUAGAUGUGUGUGAAUGUCCAAUCAGAGAAAGCACAUCUGCAGAAAGAUUAAGAAAUUGAUGUCGGGUGUGGUGGCUCAAGCCUGUAAUCCCAGCACUUUCGGAGGCUGAGGCAGGCGCAUCACCUGAGGUCAGGAGUUCGAGACCAGCCUGACCAACAUGGUGAAACCCCAUCUCUACUAAAAAUACAAACAUUAGCCUCCAGCUACGCAGGAGGCCAAGGCAGGAGAAUCGCAUGAAACUGGGAGGCAGAGGUUGCAGUGAGCUGAGAUCGUGCCACUGCACUCCAGCCUGGAUGACAGAGCAAGACUCUGUCUCAAAAAAAAAAAAAAAAAGAAAAAGAAAAAGAAAUUGAGAUACUAAGGAGAGAGUCAAAGAUAAAUAAACCAUUUGAAUUCUGACUCCUUUCCAGAUCGCCUUUCCAGUUUCUCAGAAGCCUAGCAGUACUUACUCCUCCUGCUCUUGGGUUCUUUUUUACUUUUUUUUUUUUUUUAAAAAAAAAACCUUGAACUCUUAAGGAUUAAUGCUCUUGAGUUAUGAGAUAUCCCUACAUUCCAAUAACUCUACCUUCUAUUUUUAUUGAUUAAACUAGUUUGAGUAGUUUCUGUUCCUUUCUUCCAAAACAACCCACUGAGAACUUGGAAAUAAGGCAAACUAGAUUUCCCUCUAAUAGUUAAAUUGGCAUUCUCUGAGAAUAUUUAUAAAUGUGUUAAUUGAAAAAUUUUGGAGUGUGGUGGCUCACACUUGUAAUCCUAGUGCAUUGAGAGGCUGAGGUGAGAGGACCAUUUGAGGCCAGGAGUUAGAGACUAGUCUGGGCAAUGUAGUGAGACCCCCCAACUCUACAAAAAAAAAUGUUGUUUUGUUUUUUUUGUGUUUUUGUUUUGAGAUAGAGUCUCGGUCUGUCGCCAGGCUGGAGUGCAGUGGUGAGAUCUGGGCUCACUGCAACCUCGGCCUCCCAGGUUCAAGCGAUACUCCUGCCUCAGCCUCCCGAGUAGCUGGGACUACAGGCACAUGCCACCACGCCCGGCUCAUUUUUUGUAUUUUUAGUAGAGAUGGAGUUUCACCAUGUUGGCCAGGAUGGUCUCGAACUCCAGACCUCAUGAUCCGCCUCGGCCUCCCAAAGUGCUGGGAUUACAGACGUGAGCCACCGCGCCUGGCCAAAAAAAACCUUUUUUUAAAAAUUAGCCAGGUGCGGUGAUGCACACUUGUAGUCCUAGCUGUCUGGGAAGCUGAGGAGGGGAGAUUGCUUGAGCCCAGGAGUUCAAGGUUACAGUGAGCUAUGAUUGCACCUUGCACCACUGCACUCCAGUCUGGGCGAAAGAGUGAAACUUUGUCUCAAAAAAAAAAAAAAAAAGUAUAAAUACAUAUAUAUAAAUGUAUAUAUAUAGAGAUACAUACACACACACAUACAUAUAUAUGUAUUCUUUAUAUAUAAGGUAAUGUGUAUCAAGUGAUCUAAUCUGCUCCUAAUUCACCUCCUCUAGUAUGCUUACAAAAUGAGAGUCCUGGAAUAGCAGACAUGCAUUGUAAAUAAAUGAACAUCUUUCUACAAGUAUAUUUCCCCAAGGUUCAACUGAAUAUAGUUUGCUAUAAUUUCUUAAAAUUCAAUCAAUUUCACAUCCAUUAAACUUACAAGUACCGUAAUCCAGUUUUCCUAGGAAAACUAAGCCCAGCCGAACCUUGGGAAAAAUACCUCUGUGUUAAACAUAUAUACAUGAUCGAUUUUAAAUGUUUUCACCACAAAAAAUGGUAAGUACGUGAGGUGAUGGAUUUGUUAACUCAGAAGCAGGCACACCAAAUCACAAUGGGUCUGAUUCGAUCCUCCCUGAUGGCAAUGGAGACCCAUCUAACUAAUCCCACUUCUAAUUACCUUUCUUUUUCUCCUUACAGACCUAAAAAAUCUCACCAUUUCUAUUAGCCUGAAAAUAACAUCCCUCUGUUCUUCUCUUCCUCCUUCAGCACUGAAUCUCGCUUACACUAGGUUUUACUUAAUGAUUCUCCUCCUUAUACUUUCUGUCUCACCAGUUUCCUCUCACACUUAUUUACCUGCUACACAAAAUUAUUCUUAUUGGGCUUAUGUGCCCUUUCCUCCACUUAUUCGACCUCUCACCUGGAUUGAUGCUCCUGCGGAAAUCUACAUUAACGAUAGUUUGUGGAUGCCUGGAGCUACAGAUGACCGUUGCCCUGCUCAACCAGGAGAAGAAGGCACUACAUUUAAUGUUAUCAUGGGUUAUAAAUAACACCCUCUGUGCCUCAGAAAUGCACCUGGUUAUAUCCAUCUAGAAACUCAAGUCUGGGCUGCUUAUCUUCCCGAGAGAUCAGCUACAGAGGAACCGGGACAUUUGGUCUCUGGCCUCUCCCUUUCUCCUUUAAAACAAAUGAAAGGGGGAGUAAUGGGACAUACCCCAUACUUUCAAUAAGUAGCCUCCAGGCAUUCCCUUCCACCAGAGGAGCAAUUGUUUUUUAAAUAGCCCUUUGGCGCCCAGUCUAUUACUAAACCAUAUGAGUCAUUUUUUAAUAUUACUGCAUGUGAGUUAACAUAGUCUUCCCAAAUUAAAGUUUUAGAUGGGCCCUCAAAAUUUUUAGGGCAUGGUUUUCCUGCAGGUUUAUAUGGAAAGUAUGGGGUCCCUGACUUCUCGCAACAGUGGCCUACACUGCCUUUCAGUUUACCUAGGCCUCCAAAGCACUUUAGCCUGUGGGGCUUGCCAGAACUCGGGUUCCAGCUCCUGGAAUGGACAGUUCCCCUCUGGCUAGGGUUGAUCUAAUGUUCCCUCUGGGUUACUGGCUGAGUUCUGCCCUGUGUGGCUUUCUGCUGUGCCAGGGCUGCACUGAGUUCAAAUGCAGAGUCUCACAAUCAUUGUAUUCUUCCUCCCCCAGGAGCACCCAUUCUCUCUUUACACCAAUUGGCCACUGCCAGGGGAUGAAGAGGGAUGAUGUUGACAAUUCAAGACUAUUUCUUACCCUCUUCAGUGCCUGUUUCCUUAAUAUGAUAAUAAACCAGGUACUGCGAUCACUCACCUGAUUAUUGGUUCUUAUGAAGGUGCUUUUUUAAUGUAGUUGUUCAGUUUGAUAUUUCUGUCGGAGGGAUGACUGCUGGAGGAUUCUAUUAAGCCAUCUUGCUCUGCCUUCUUGCAACACAUAAAAUUCAACAGUUUUGUGCAACUGUAAGUUCAAGUGUUUGUAAUUUUAUUUAUUUCAUUUUUUUCUUUGAGAUGAAGUCUCCCUCUUGUUACCCAGGCUGGAGUGCAGUGGCGCGAUCUUGGCUCACUGCAACCUCUACCUCCUGGGUUCAAGCAAUCCUCCUGCCUUAUCCUCCCAAGUAGCUGGGAUUACAGAUGCCUGCCACCAUGUCUUGCUAACUUUUGUACAUUUAGUAGACAUGAGGUUUUGCCAUGUUGUCCGGGCUGGUCUUGAACUCCUGACUUCAAGUGAUCCACCUGUCUUAGCCUCCCAAAGUACUGGGAUUACAGGUGAGAGUCACUGCUCCCUGCUGCAAAUUUCUUAUUAAAUCUGUUUGACAGAUUUUAGAAUUUCUAUAAGUAAUGUUUAAAAUUACAACCAUUUGGGCUGGGUGUGGUGGCUCAUGCCUGUAAUCCCAGCACUUAUUUUAUUUCUUAUCAGGAGAACGAGAAUCAUCAUACUACUUUGCAUCGGAGGUUAAGCUCAUUCUUUUCCUUAAAAUGGGAAGAUAAAGGCAUUACCCCCUCUCCGAGGCCUCAUAUGAUACUCCCCAUUCUGACCCAGAACACCCAGAACUUUGGAAAUUGGCUAUUGCCAUGUCUGGACUGCAAGUAUGGGAAGCAGAAACUAUUCUGUCUGUUGUCCCCACUACCAUCUCCCUCUCUCAGUAUCAACGUAGAUCCAGACAUUCUGCUUUACCUACCUCCAACCUGUUUCCAUACAGAGUUCUGUUAAGCCUCCUUGCAUGCUGUUAGUGAGAUAUAUCAAAAUUUGGAUGAACAAUCAAACUGUCCAAUGCAUUAAUUGUCAUUUAUACACUUGUAUUAACUCCCAUUUUGAUUCCAGGAAAAGUGUAAUGUUGGUUCGAGCUCAAGAAGGAAUCUGGAUUCCGGUAACUUUGCCCAGACCUUGGGAAUCCUCCCCUUCAAUACAUUUAAUUAAUGAAGUGUUACAGUGAAUUCUAAAAAGAUCUAAGAGAUUUAUUUUCACUUUAAUUGCUGUUAUCAUGGGCCUAAUUACAGUCACUGCAGUGGCCACCACUGCCGGAAUGGCAUUACACCAGUCCAUUCAAGCGGCUCAUUUUGUUAAUGGUUGGCAAGCCAAUUCCAUCCAAAUGUGGAAUUCUCAACAAGGCAUCGAUCGAAAAUUGGCAAAUCAAAUUAGUGAUUUAAGACAGUCUGUUAUUUGGCUUGGAGAUCAGGUAGUGAGUCUCGAGCAUCACAUGCAAAUGCAGUACGAUUGGAACACUUGAGAUUUCUGCAUCACCCCGUAUUCCUAUAACGAGACUGAUCAUUCAUGGGAAAUGGUCAAAAGACAUCUUCUGGGUAGGGAAGAUAAUUUAUCACUGGACAUAACUAAAUUAAAGAGACAAAUUUUUGAAGCCUCUCAAGCUCACUUAUCCAUUGUGCCUGGAGCUGAGGCGUUAGAUCAGGUGGCAGAAAAUCUUUCUGGAUUAAACCCCAGGACUUGGAUUAAGUCUAUUGGGGGCUCCACUGUAGUAAAUUUUGGAAUUAUGUUUCUCUGUUUAAUCGGCUUGUUUUUAGUUUGCCAGACUAGUCAAAGAAUCCUGCGUCAAAAUCAAGAGAACGAACAAGCCUUCAUUGCCAUGGCACAUUUAUUAUAAAAAGAAAGGGAGAGAUGUUGCGGGAAGUCAGGGACCCCGGAGGGACCAGCUGAAGCCAUGGCAGAAGAACAUAAAUUGUGAAGAUUUCAUGGACAUUUAUUAGUUCCCCAAUCAAUACCCUUGUGAUUUCCUAUGCCUGUCUUUACUUUAAUCUCUUAAUCCCGUCAUCUUCGUAAACUGAGGAGGAUGUAUGUCGCCUCAGGACCCUGUGAUGAUUGUGUUAACUGCACAAAUUGUAGAGCAUUUGUGUUUGAACAAUAUGAAAUCUGGGCACCUUGAAAAAAGAACAGGAUAACAGUGAUGUUCACGGAACAAGAGAGAUAACCUUAAACUCUGACUGCCGGUGAGCUGGACGGAACAGAGCCAUAUUUCUCUUCUUUCAAAAGCAAAUGGGAGAAAUAUCACUGAAUUCUUUUUCUCAGCAAGGAACAUCCCUGAGAAAGAGAAUGCAUCCCUGAGGGUAGGCCUCUGAAAUGGCUGCUUCAGGGCAGCUGUCUUUUAUGGUCGCAGCUGUGGGGAUGAAAUAAGCCCCAGUUUCUCAGAGUGCUCCCAGGCUUAUUAGGACGAGGAAAUUCCUGCCUAAUAAAUUUUGGUCAGACCAGUUGUCUGCUCUCAAACCCUGUCUCCUGAUAAGAUGUUAUCAAUGACAAUGCAUGCCCGAAACUUCAUUAGCAAUUUUAAUUUCACCCCAGUCCUGUGGUCCUGUGAUCUCGCCCUGCCUCCAUUUACCUUGUGAUAUCUUAUUACCUUGUGAAGCAUGGGAUCUCUGUGACCCAUACCCUAUUUGUACACUCCCUCCCCUUUUGAAAAUCACUAAUAAAAAAUUUGCUGGUUUUAUGGCUCAGGGGGCAUCACAGAACCUGCCAACAUGUGAUGUCUGCCCUGGACACCCAGCUUUAAAAUUU